ACCCCUAAGGCGAGGCCGAAAGGCGUAGUCGAUGGGAAACAGGUUAAUAUUCCUGUACUUGGUGUUACUGCGAAGGGGGGACGGAGAAGGCUAUGUUGGCCGGGCGACGGUUGUCCCGGUUUAAGCGUGUAGGCUGGUUUUCCAGGCAAAUCCGGAAAAUCAAGGCUGAGGCGUGAUGACGAGGCACUACGGUGCUGAAGCAACAAAUGCCCUGCUUCCAGGAAAAGCCUCUAAGCAUCAGGUAACAUCAAAUCGUACCCCAAACCGACACAGGUGGUCAGGUAGAGAAUACCAAGGCGCUUGAGAGAACUCGGGUGAAGGAACUAGGCAAAAUGGUGCCGUAACUUCGGGAGAAGGCACGCUGAUAUGUAGGUGAAGUCCCUCGCGGAUGGAGCUGAAAUCAGUCGAAGAUACCAGCUGGCUGCAACUGUUUAUUAAAAACACAGCACUGUGCAAACACGAAAGUGGACGUAUACGGUGUGACGCCUGCCCGGUGC
rnacentral:rRNA from 1 species